rnacentral:sRNA from 1 species
ACGUUGCAAGUUCCCGAAAGGAUUCGUCUGUACGAAGAUGCCUUGUAACCGAUAAUUUAUUAGGGGGAAUCAC